rnacentral:rRNA from 1 species
GUCGAGAAUAAUUCACAAUGGACGAAAGUCUGAUGGUGCAACGCCGCGUGGAGGAUGACGGUCUUCGGAUUGUAAACUCCUGUCAUCCGGGAGUAAGACCUGGCUGUGAAUAGCAGACAGGGUUGAUAGUACCGGAAGAGGAAGGGACGGCUAACUUCGUGCCAGCAGCCGCGGUAAUACGAAGGUCCCGAGCGUUGUUCGGAAUCACUGGGCGUAAAGGGAGCGUAGGCGGCGUGGUAAGUCAGAUGUGAAAUCCCGGGGCUCAACCCCGGAACUGCAUCCGAUACUGCCGUGCUAGAGGAUUGGAGAGGUAGCUGGAAUUCUUGGUGUAGCAGUGAAAUGCGUGGAGAUCAAGAGGAACACUCGUGGCGAAAGCGAGCUACUGGACAAUAUCUGACGCUGAGGCUCGAAGGCCAGGGUAGCGAAAGGGAUUAGAACCCUGGUAGUCC